rnacentral:lncRNA from 1 species
UAAUACAACACAAAUUUAAACAGAUAAGAAGUUGCAAGUGAAAAAUACAGCAUAACAAUGUUUGUCUCAGUCACGAGACAAGAUUAUUGUGAAAUUGUUGAGAUCUCCUAGGUAGAGAAUGAAGAGAUUACAACACUGUUUUUAUUUCAAGAGAGUCACUCAUUGGAAAUCACGACAUUUUAUUUUUUUUUCUCGACAAACACAAUUUCAUAUAAAUUAAUAUGCGGUACUGCUCUCCUUCGAUAGGGCUUCGCACUGGGAUUUCCCUGUGAAAAAGGAGAAAGGUUUGAAUAAAUUGGAACUAAGUACUAAACACUUCGAAAAGCAAUGUGGUAGUAUAUAUACCUCAAUAUAUUUAUUCCAUUUAGCAUCUGUGGCAAUUACUACUUGACGUUGAUGAUCCCAGCUAAACUCUGGAUGAUGCUUGAUGUUGUGCACUAUUCCAUAUUCACGUUCAUAAUAACUGAAGCGAUCAUGUAAAUGUUUGUCUUCAUAUUUCAUGCCUGUUGCUUCAUUGAACUUGGCUACUACAUCACGCCAGGAAUUAUUUUUAAAGUCUAGUAUUUUUCUCCCUCUUGAUUGAAUUUGCUUUACCAAUAAAUCAAGCAGUACUUGAUCAUGCGCUUUUUCCCAUAUUGCUGAAGGCCGACCCGUUAUUUUAAUCUUUUUUCUUCCCAAAAUUUCUUUUGGCCACUGUCUCCUGUAAGUACAAACUAGUAAAUAAAAGGGAUACCACAAUGUAUAAUUUUAAGAAUUUUACUGCCCAUGAAAAAAAAAAACAUUCUAAUCCUAAGGGGAAAAAAAAAUUAUAACCAUUAUCACUGUAUAUCAUAUAACUAUUCAUAUAGCUUUAACUAAUAAUUUUUUUUUUUUUUUUUUUUUUUGACUUUUCAAAUUACGCACGUACCAUGAUAUAUUGACAAGGAUCAGACUAAAACGGAAUGAGCUAUUCCUAUUUUACUUUUGUGGUGUAAUUAAUCAUGACCGUUGAUUCAAGGAACUCACUUCAUUAAUUGGACUUGUAUUGGAAUCGCUUCAUUUAAUAAAAUCCACCCAAAACCAGAGAAAUCAAUUCAAAUCAUGGCCUAGUUAAGAUUCCAAAAAAAAAAAGAAAAAAAGAGAAAAAAAAUCAAUAAAAAAUGAAUUGUAAUUCAAGAAUUAAUAUAGAUACUCUACGUAGAAAAUUAACAGUGGGAAUUUACACAAAGCAACCUAUAUUCCCGCUAUUAACACAUCCAAUUAGAAAUGAAAGAAAAAAAAUUCAAAGGACUGAGAAAAAACAAGCUACUUACUCAUCACUGUCGCUACGGGCUCCCCCUUGUAUGCACUCAAGUUGAAGGAUGGACCCAUUCUGGAUUCCGUAGUGGGCCAAUGAUCUCUCUAUCUCCAUCAGUGGACUGCCAUUGAAAUCAAGAUCAAUAUCCCACAAUCCCGACUGUAGCACCUCAUGAGGAACAAGAGUGAUUAACACAUCCUCGAUGGUGUGGGAUUUUUCCACCUCAAGCACAAAAUUUCCGUAAUUUUCUGACCGCACAAAGAUUUUCAUUUCACCACCGCCGUUGGGUCUCCUGGAAGGGCCGGGGAUUGCAUUUCCCGUCUUGGCUAUUACUUUAGAACUAGCAAAGUUGCACAUGUAAUGGACGUUAGCUUAUUUAAUUGUGGUAUGUAAAUUCAAAUUUAAUAUUUAAUUUGAUAUAUUUGAAUCUAAUCGUUAAUUGCAGUUGAAACUGCAUGAAGAAACCCAACUGUACGUAAUAGUUGAAAGUAUCUCCAAAUUGGCUAUCGUACCAACUGUACCAAUUGUAACAAUUGCAGAUAUUAACCUUUCGCAAGAGGUAAGUUUACCAGAUCUCUAAUCAGUUUUUUAACAGAAAAAUAUUUUUGUUUUCUACAUCUGAGAUAAUUUUACCACUAUAUAAUAAUAAUAAUAAUAAUAAUAAUAAUAAUAAUAAUUUAGAAAAAUAUUUUUCAACUAUAUGCAAGCAAAUAAAUUAUUUAUAACUAUAGCAUUUUCUACUGCAUUAAAUCAAAUACGAUGCGUAUAGUUAUAAUUGCUGCAUUUGAACUGCAUGCGUCCAUCUUUAGCUAUGCUGCAUCUCAUUCAACCAAACAAAAAACACAUUUAAAAGUUACAUGUCACCUUAUUUGAUUCCAAUAUGUAUGUGGUAGGAAACGAAAUGACACUAGAGAUCUGCUAGGAUUCGAUCUCCUAUUCUAACAAUGUGAUUAAUAGUAUAAAGUAAUAAUUUAUAUCUAAGAACUUAAACUGCUAUAUUCAACAAGGAUAAGCACUAGUGAUUUGAGAAAAACAUCGUACCUCAUAACUAAGGAAGAAAGAGAGAGAGAGAGAAACUACUUGGACCUUGUUUCAACUUUGGAAGAUUGGGUGGCUUAAAUAGAAGAAACUAAAACUUUUACCUGUAUAUAUAAAACCUUCCCUAGUUUCCAUUUUACCCCAGUUCUCACCCCCACCCAAAAAAUUCAGAAGGUAACUAAGAGACAAGCGUCAAUUUGCAGUCAAGUUGAAGGUUUCAAAUUUUUUUAUCCUCCAACGACGUGGUGGAAAAUUUUUAAUGAUAUAUGGCGUACGUAGACUAUUGACGACUAGUCACGAAAUUAAUGCAUACUUUAUUUAAAUUGGCGUAGAAAAUGUGUUAAAUUCUUGACUAGAAAAAGAACUACACUGGGACAGCAUCCAAUGUUAAGUAAUGUGAAAUAAUUAAAAAAAAUUUUUAAUUAAAGAGCCAAAGCUGUCGCAGGCCCAAUGCUAUUAGGAUCAUACCCUCGAAUAUUCCAAGGCGUAAUUAGGUUCCUUAAUCUCUUUUGCUUGAAAACUUAAUUGAAGUAAUAAUUAGAAGUUUAGGGACUCAAUUAAAACUCCGAUGAAAACAAAUCAAAUAUCUAGUUGCAAACAAGUGAAACCAUAUUUAAUGUCGAAUAAUGUGAAAAAAAUAUUUUUCUCCAAAAGCGCAAGUUACUAAGAACGAUGUUACUCGUGAAAGGUCAAAUAUCCAAUUGCGAGCCAAUUGCAAUAAUUAGAUGGCUAGCGACGCACCGGAAAAAUAUUAGAGAUCUCCUACGUAAUUUACCUUCAUGUUUAAUCUCCCUCCAGGGAAUUCAUAUACCUGUGCAUAAAAUCCUGCAAAUCAACUAUUCUAUGCGUAGCCUUAUCAUACUGCUGUUGGAAUAAUUAAUGACCACUUUUGGUCUUCUUUAUUUAAUCUGCUUAUUCCAUGAAUGAUAACAUCUCCUAGUCAGCGGUCUUAUCCACAAAGGUCUCAGGGUGUAGCAGUGGAAAGUCAUCUUUGGGCACUAAGGUCUCAAUAAUCAAUGCAGAGACAAAUUUAUCCAGUACAAUGCUCGAAUAGUUUAACACGAAUGAAAAAAAUAAUUUUAAUUAUAAUAAAUGAGACCUACCUAUUAGUAAUAAUAAUUAGACUUAAACAUUUUGCACCGAUAGUUUGGGCCCAAUGAAUUAUUAUUACUAACGGUUCGGAUCAUUUUGAAUCCGUAUGAGUCACCUCUAGAAUCUCAUAUAAAUCUAACGUCAUCUGAUAAUUCUAUUCUAUUUUGUAUCUAUUUUAUUUUGUUUCGAACCGAUAAUUUGAGCCGAAUAAAGUAUUAUUGGUAACGAUUCGGAUCGUUGUGUGUCCAUUCUCCCACUGGGUAUCUCCUGCUGCUGGCUUCCCAAAUUGAGUGGGAUGCGCGGCUGCAUGUGCAACUGAAACCAUGCACCUCUCCUGCCCUUACUUCCCUAUGCCAAAUCCGCCGUCCAUUCGACGGAUAUAUUUGGCCAUAUCCGAACGCUUCUUCGGUGAGCGCGCUCCCGUACGAGUUCGGCACCGCCCCCAUAAAAAAACUACCAUUUGGUGUGAGAAUCUUUGGAAAUACUCGCCGGGUGUAUAGUACAGUAUAUGUAUUUCGAACACCCUACCUAAUUCAUAAAUUUUGAUAUCAAAUAAUCAUGAAUUGAGAUUGGCAAAUUAUAUCUUCAAUAGUUAUAACAUCAAGUUCACAUUCACAUACACAAACAUCAAGUAGGAAAAUUGAAAUAUUAACACGUUAUAUUAUUGUAGAAGAUAACUAUUGCAAGGAGAAGGGACAUUCAAACCUGCCUCACAGUGGUGAAAAAAAUAGUGAGUCAAGUAUUACAAUCCACAACAACUAAGAGAGAGAGAGAGAGAGAGAGAGAGAGAGAGAGAGAGAGAGAGAGAGAUACGGUACAGAAAAAAUAGUGAGAAGAGGGAGUAUAUUAGAGAGGAUGUAGUGAAAAAGAAGAAGCAGAAUAGUCAUGAUGUUUCAAUAAUUUCACAUUGGAUUAAAAAAAAAAUUGCAUACAAAUCUCACAUUAUGUGUAAUUUAAUAAUUGCUCCGACAAGAACGUAGUUUAGGGGACCGGGAGGUCCCUGCCCUCCUCCUCCAUCACCCUUAUCUCUCUCUCCUGCCCAUCCCCACUGUUCCCCCCAUUUUUUUAACUUCCAGUCCACAGUCUUAUCUCUCUCCUACCCAUCCCCACGGUUUCCCCCUUUUUUUUAACUUUCAGCCCACAGUAUGUUAGGAUAAACUCAUAUUCAACUUUUGUAAAUAUAGAUGUCAAAAUUUAGCAUCUAAUAUAUAUAUAUGUAUAUAUAUAUGAGUAAUACUUCAAUACAUCAUAUAGAUGUUGACCAUUUAGUUUUCUUAAUAGAUGGUUUAGAUUUAAUGUGAUUCUAGAGGUGACUUGCUAUUGAAGUAUAGGUACCAUUCACAAGGUACCUAUUUAAAGAGUAUUUUAGUCUUUGUAAAAUAAUUUGGUCUACAAAACCAGUUUUAUUUAACUAAAAAUAUUGUGACCCUCUUAAAUACCUACAACAAUAGUUGAAUUUCAAAUUACAACAAAACUGUAAAUUUAAAUUCAAAACAACAUUUUAAACUUUAUAAAUUAAAUUUAAUUUUUUUAAAUAUAAAACACAGAUUUAAAAUAAAAAUUUUAGUUCCAAUUCAAAAUUUCAAUUUAAAUCAAAAAUUAAAAUUUGGCUUCAAGAUUAAAAGUUCAAUUUAGAUUCAAAUUUAAAAGUUUAGUAUAAAUUUCAAAAUUAAAAUUUUACAUUACAAUACCAAUUUCAAAAAUUAAAUUUAAAUUCAAUAUUUUUUUGAGCUGAAUACUUAACAAAUUAGGUAUCAUCUAAUUUGGUAAGUUAUCAAAAUAAAUAAGAUAUUUAAUAUUUAAAGAAUGCUGACAAAUUUAGUAUAUACUAUUUUUUUUUUCUAAUAUUGUCAUAUUAACUAAUUCAAAUCGGUAACCUGUUCAACUGGUUACUUCAUGUAAAUCCCAACUACACCCUUUACUAAUUAAGAGAUUAAAUUUUAAUAUUUAUGGUGUAUAGAAGCAUUCCUUUAUACACUACAAGAAGUUUAACUUUUAGCAAAAUUUAACUAGUAACAUUUCACUAAGUGACAAAAAUUAUAAUAUUUAGCAAUAUUUAUUUAUUAGUGUUGCUAAAUGUACUUAUUUACCAAUAUUUAGGUGUAAAUGUUGCUAUAUAUAAAUAACACCAACACUAAGAAUUAAAUGUUACAAUGUUUAGCAACACUUUUUUUGAUAAAUGACAAUUAGUUUUUCAAAUUUUGAAAAGCCCUUCAAAAUUUUAAAAUUUCAUCUUUCCCUCCUUUAGUGAUAUUUUUUUCCAUCUCUCUUUCAUUUCUUUGUCUCUUCACUUUAAACUCUCAAGAGAUUUUUUUACUCUCAUGGUUUCUUCUUUUAUUCCUUCAUUCCACAAAGUCUUUCUCACCAAUUUUUUUAUUUUGUAAGAUUGGAGGAAAAAACAUUGGAUCGGACUAUCAAUUUUGUUUCCAGAGAUAAGUAAGUAUCCCUUUCUUGUAAGGUAAAACAAUUUCAUAUUAAUUCCAAAUCAAAAUCAUAGAUUUGAAAUUUUCUUUUCUUUUUUUCUUAACUAAUAAAGUUUAUUAUGACUAGAAUAGGAUUACUCUUCAACCUUUUGGUUCGUCGUUACAUUAAUUUAUUGUAUUAUGUGGUAUGAUAUAUAUGAGGUUUUUGUUUCUUAACUUUCAUCAACCUUUUUUUUUAUAUUUUUUACUUUUAGAUAUUAAAUUUGUUCUUAUUACAUUACUAUCAUUUUAAUUUAAUUUUUUUAUUUUUUUAGAAAAUAUCAUUUAUUUUGAAAAUGUUCGAACAAAUAUAUGAUCUUUUAUAAUUUGAUAAGGGCAAUAUAUUUUAUCUUUUAGUAGUUCAUAGUAUCCUAUAUUUUAUGAUAAAUUUCUUAAAUCUUUUCAUUUUACAUGUUAAGCAAUUAAAUAGAGGCUACAAGAUUGUUUCAUUCAAGCAUUUUGGAGACUUCUACAACAAAUAAGGAUGACUAAUUUUUUAUUUUAUCGUGAUCGAAUUUGUAAUUAUGAGGAAACUCAUUUAGUUUUGUAUCAAAUGUGUUAUUUGAUUUGUAAUAUAUUACAAGUUUUGAUUGUCAUAUGAUAUACAUGAGAUUUUUAGUGUUUAUGGUUGUUGUCCAUUUUGACUAUCAAUGGAGUAAACAACUUGUGAGUACUAUAGAACUAUAGAAUUUCUUAUUAUAGUUAUAAUUAUUUUUUAAAAUAUAUUAGAUUAUUACCGAUUAAUCAUAAAUUUUUUAAAUAAUAAUUAUUUAAUGUUAAUAUAAUAUAUAUUUUUACCAAUAAUUCAAAAUGCUAUUAUACGUAAUUGUUUAGUAAUAUUUGAUUAUUAUUAACUAUGAUUAUAAUAAUUAAUCAAAAAUUAAUAAUAUUUUAAUUUAAUUAAUAUCAAAAUUUAUAAUUAAUAAAAUAUUUUUAUUUAAUUCAAAAAAUAAUAGCUAAAUUAAUACAAGAAUUAAUUAAACAAUAUGCACCACCAUUUAAAAGUUGCCCCAUUAAAUUUUUUUUUUUUUAGCAACUUUUGUUAACUGUUGCUAAUUCUUGAGCAUUAGCAACACUCUCUCCAAAUGUUGCUAAAAGAUUAAACAUCACGGGCAUAGACAACACUAAAAGUUAAGUGUUGCUAAAAGAUUUAGUUACAUUUCUUAUUCAUUUAGCAACAUCUAUAAAUGUCACUAAAUCUAAACUUUCUUGUAGUGAUAUGAGCUAGGCUGGUAUACUAUCGGUAGCACGGAGGCCUCCGUGCUACCAAGUUGUUUUCAAUGAUGCGGCUUCCAAAUUGACGAUCGGCUUCAUUAGACUUGAUAUACACUAUUGAAAGCAUUUGGAAACUAAAUUUUGUAAUUUUUCGAUAUCAUUUGGCUAGUGAUCAAAAGUCUCAAAAUUUAUAAUUUUAAUGGUAAAUUUGAUGCGUUUGUGAAUUCAAUGGUGUAAAACAAUCCAAAUUUGAUGAAAUUUUUAUAGAAAAUUCUUUUCAGUAUUUAGAAUAAGAUCAGUAUCUUUAAUUUUAAAUUCAAGUCUUUUAUAAUCAUUUUUUAUGAGAUUUUUAUUUUCAGCCGUUCAUUUUUAGACUACUUGCUUAAUAGGUAAAUGAUACCGAAAAAUUAUAAAAUUUAGUUUUCAAAUACUUUCAAUAGUGUACAAUUCAAGAUCUACAGAGCCUGAUCGCCGAUUUGGAAGCCGCAUCAUUGAAAACAACUUGGUAGCACGGAGACCUCCGUGCUACGAUAGUAUACCAGCCUAACUCUAUAUUAUAUAUAAUAUAUAUAUAUAUCGUAUAUUAUUUAAAUUAAAAUAUUUAAUUAAAUAUGUUUUCCUUUUUUCAGAAAAUAUUAAUGUUAAUAUAAGUAAUAGAAAAAUAAAAUCUAAUUUAUAUUGAAUCUAAAUAUAUUUUCACCCUACCCACCAAAUAAAAAAAAAAAGCGGAAAACAAGUAUAGCGGCUAAUGAGUGAGCUAAUUAUAGGAACUCUAAGUUGCGGCGUGUUUUCGCGGUUUCAAUAAUUUUUUUAUCCUUCAACUCGGUGAAACGGAAUUUAAAGUGGUGCGCGACUGCGAUUGAUUAGUGCGUGCGCAAAUUAGGCAUACUUUAAGGUAUCGUUUGGUCAGGAUAAGCAAAAAGUGGCUAUUUCAGUGAUAGGUAUAAAUUGAGGUAUAUUGCGUUUGGAUGAAAAUUGGGUUAUUUCUGGUGAAUAAAAAAAUAGCGUUUUGUUAGGUAAGAUGGAAUAAGAAGAUAGUUGGUUUUUAUAAAUAAAAAUAAUGAUAUUAUCUUUAUUUAUAUUUGAAUUUAAUUUUUAAAUUUUUAAUUUUAAAUUUCAACUUUGAAAUUUUAAAAAUUAAAAUUUAAAAUCUCUAUUUUAAAUUCAAAAUUUUAAAUUUUAAAUUUCAAACUUUAAAUUUAAGAUCAAAUUUCAAUUUAAAAAUAUAAUAAUAUCAAAUUUUUAAUUCAAAUUUUUAAAUAUCAAAAAUUAAUUUAAAAUUUAUAAUUAUAUUUAUUUAAUUAUUAACUUUAUUUGAGAGAUUAUAAAUAUAUAUUUUAAAAUUUAAAUUUCAAAAUUUAAAUUUUAAAAUUUUAAAUAAGAAUAGGAGUGGAACAUUAAUAAAAAUAUUAUUAUAAUAAAUUAUAAUUUUUUUAAAAUUCUACUUAAACUUAAAUUUAAUAAAAAUAAUUUAUUAUAAUAUUCAAAUAUAAUUUAUUAUAAAUUUUAUUAUAAUAUUUAAAUAUAAAUAAUAUUUAUUAAUAUAGUACAAUUAAUAAUUGUAUAAUAAAAAUAAUGUAUUAUAAUAUAUAAGAUAUUAUAUUUAUAUAAUUUAGUUUUAAUUCAAUUUAUAAUUUUAAUUAAGUUUGAAAUUAAGCAUUGGAAUAGCAUUAUUCCACCAAAAUGGUGGAAUAGUAAAUCUCUUGUUAUUCCGGGAUAAUCGGGAAUAGCAAGGUUUGACCGGGAUAAAAUAUUCCGGCCAAAUUUCACCCCGUUUGGCGGAAUUGUGGGGAUAACUUUCGUUAUCCCCGCUUAUCCCCCGAACCAAACCGGGCCUAAGAGUUAAUUGCGUUAGAGUUACUUUAACUUUUGUGAUUUAAAAUUUUAUUUUAAUUAGAGGAGGCGCCGGAUACUCAAUAGUGUUACCAUAAUUAUAAAAAACUCCUUGACUGUACCUUCUGCCAGCCGAGGGUCCGGAUCCUCAAGCAAGGUCCGGACCCCCAACCUCAAUUUCGCGAUGUGCCCAGGCAUGAUCCGGACCCUCUCGCAAGGUCCGAACUCCUCAAAUUAAUUUCAGAAUUUUCACAGACAGGGUCCAAACCAUGCGUCAAGAUCCGGACCUUAAUGUUUGAGCUCAUAGAGAAAGAUCAAGAUCCAGGUCCUUAAGUCUAGAUUUGGAUACCGAGAGUACAAUAGCUCAGAAACACUUUUUCUAAAAAUUUUCAUUCCUUGGAUCUCCUAGUGACUUUAAAAAUCUUAGAUCAUACUUAAUAGUAUGAAUUAUUGAUUCAAAAGUUUUAUUAUUGAAAUAAGACUACAAUACAAAAAUUUUUGUGCUGUUAAUAGAACCCGAGCUAAACUUUAUGCUCGAAUCUUCAAAACUUUUGAGAGAAUUCACAUAUUCGAAAUCAGCUCAAAGAAGAAUUUUAAAAAUUCACCCAGUAAACGCAAGAAAUUAAUCAUUUUCUCAUAUGGACAAGCCUCUCUUCAAAUAAUAUCAACUAAAAAACAAACGAAUCCUUCAAAUAAUUAAGCCCCAUCAAAAUAAUUAACAAAUACUAAUUUAACCUGAAAACUUUAUAUAGAAUUUUUGAAGAGUGCCCCUAUAAUGGUGGGUACAAUAUUAUGUGAACUAUGGUAUGUACAAUAUAUUUAUAAUAUGAUUUGAUACAGCGACAUCCAUUUUGACAUAUAUAUAUAUAUAUAUAUAUAUAUAUAUAUAUAUAUAUAUAUAUAUAUAGAUAUAUAUAUANGUAUUUGGAAACUAAAUUUCAUAAUUUUUCGACAUCAUUUGGCUAGUGAUCAAAAGGUUCCAAAAUUAACAAUUUUAAUGGUAGAUAUGAUGCGUUUUUAAGUUCAACGGUGUAGAAGUAUCCAAAUUAGAUAAAAAUUUAAUAGAAAAUUCUACUUAACAUCAAUAGCAAGACCAAUACUUCCGAUUUGAAAUUUGAAUUCUUUAUUACUAUUUUUUAUGAGAUUUUCAUUUUCAGCCGUUUAUUUUUAGACUACUCGUUUGAUUGGUAAAUGACGCCGAAAAAUUAUGAAAUUUAGUUUUCAAAUACUUUCAAUAGUGUAGAUUAAGUCUAACGGAACCGAUCGUCGAUUUAUAAGCCGCAUCAUUGAAAACAACUGGGUAGCACGGAGACAUCCGUACUACCGAUAGUAUACCUGCCUAGCUCUAUAUAUAUAUAUAUAUAUAGAUGGUAGCUAAUAACAUAAUCAUAAAAGGACCAUCGGAUAAAAUCAACCAAAUAGUAUAUUCUAAGAUGAUGCACAGUUGAAUCCAUGAGAAUUGACACUCGAUAUAAUUGAAAUAAUUCUCAUGUACGUUUACUUUGUGUGCAUAAUAGUCGAGUAACACAUUAUUCUUGUCAAAUAAUUGUUUGCUUUAUUACAAUGCAUAUGAAGAGUUUGUAGAUGACAAUGAACAAAAUAUAUAUAUGAAAAUAUAGUAUUGUUGUUCUCCUCCAAAAAGCUCUGCUUCGGGUUCUACCUGCGCGAAUGCCAAAAAAGUUUGAAUCGAUUCAAGCAUCAAAAAUGAUAGUAUUUGAUAAAUAAUAAUAAUAAUAAUAAUAAAAAUAAAAAAUACGGUUAGUAUACCUCGAUAUAUCGAUUCUAUUCAUCAUCUUUAGCAUUUACUACAAGACGUCGAUAAUCCCACCUAUGUAUUGGCUGUUGCUCCAUGUCAUUCACCAUUUCAUAUUCAGUCGUAAUCUUCGACUUCAUAAUUCCAUGUUGUUGUCUUGCUGAAUCUAGCCAAUAUGUUACGCAAAGCAUCCAUUUUAAAACCUUGUCCGGAGAGUCUCUCCCGCCAUCAUGCACAUGUUUUACCAUCAAAUCAAGCAGCGUUUUGGGGUAGUUCUUCACCCAAAUUGCUAAAAGGUUGGUUUCCUCUUUCGAUAGUUCUCCUUUGUAGCACUAUUUUUUGUCAGCUCUCUAUUCGAUCUGCAGGUAAAUUAAAACAACAAUACCCUAGAAAUACUUUUAAAUUAAAAUGACAGAGAAUAAUGAUGAUUGAAAAUAGUAGAAAAUCGUAAUCAUAGAACAUAGUUGUGGACGACGUUUCGAUUGCAUGCACAAUGAUCUCCAUCUCACUGGCAAAGUCAAGUUCCACAACGGAGUCCGGCGGCUCUACACAAUCCAUCUCCACCAACUCUAUAUGGACACAUUGUGUUGUUCAAAUAAUCACAUUCAAUAUAGAAAAUCUAGUGACUUACGAAAUCAUUGAGGGAGCAUUAAUUAUAAGCUUACACUAAUGAUAGAUGCUAACACAAAUACAUAUUUAAAUAGAUGAGAAGUGGCAUGCGAAAGAUAUAGUGUAACAAUGUUUGCCUCGGUCAAGAGGCGAGAUUAUUGUGAGAAUGUUGAGAUCUCAUAGCUAGAGAACGAAGAGAUUACAACACUAUUUUUAUUUCAAGAGAGUCACUCAUUGGAAAUCACAGUAUUUUUUUUUUUCUCAAACACAAUUUCAUAUAAAUUAAUAUUUGGUACUUCUCUCCUUCGAUAGGGCUUCGCACUGGGAUUUCCCUGUGAAAAAGGAGAAAGGUUUGAAUAAAUUGGAACUAAGUACUAAACACUUCGAAAAGCAAUGUGGUAGCAUACCUUAAUAUAUUUAUUCCAUUUAGCAUCUGUGGCAAUUACUACUUGACGUUGAUGAUCCCAGCUAAACUCUGGAUGAUGCUUGAUGUUGCGCACUAUUCCAUAUUCACAUUCAUAAAAAUUGAAGCGAUCAUGCAAUUGUUUGUCUUCGUAUUUCUUGCCUGUUGCUUCAUUGAACUUGACUACAAUAUCAUGCCAGGAGUUAUUUUUAUAGUCUAGUAUUUUUCUCCCUUUUGAUUGAAUUUGCUUUACCAAUAAAUUAAGCAGUACUAGAUAAUGCGCUUUUUCUCAUAUUACUGAAGGCCGAUCCGUGAUUUUAAUCUUUUUUCUUUCCAAAAUUUCUUUUGGCCACUGUCUCCUGUAAGUACAAGCUACUAAAUAAAAGAGAUACCAAGAGAUACCAAGAUGUAUAAUUUUAAGAAUUUUACUGCCCAUGAAAAAAAAAAAAAACAUUCUAAUCCUAAGGGGAAAAAAUAUUAUAACCAUUAUCACUGUAUAUCNUUGAAGCGAUCAUGCAAUUGUUUGUCUUCGUAUUUCUUGCCUGUUGCUUCAUUGAACUUGACUACAAUAUCAUGCCGGGAGUUAUUUUUAUAGUCUAGUAUUUUUCUCCCUUUUGAUUGAAUUUGCUUUACCAAUAAAUUAAGCAGUACUAGAUAAUGCGCUUUUUCCCGUAUUGCUGAAGGCCGAUCCGUGAUUUUAAUCUUUUUUCUUUCCAAAAUUUCUUUUGGCCACUGUCUCCUGUAAGUACAAGCUACUAAAUAAAAGAGAUACCAAGAUGUAUAAUUUUAAGAAUUUUACUGCCCAUGAAAAAAAAAAAAACAUUCUAAUCCUAAGGGAAAAAAAUAUUAUAACCAUUAUCACUGUAUAUCAUAUAACUAUUCAUAUAGCUUUAACUAAUAAUUGCUCCUAGUUAAAGCUAUAUGAAUAGUUAUAUGAUAUACAGUGAUAAUGGUUAUAAUUUUUUUUUCCCCUUAGGAUUAUUUUUUUUUUUUUUUUGACUUUUCAAAUUACGCAUGUACCUUGUGAUCCAGUUGUGAAACUUGAUAUAUUGACAAGGAUCAGUCUAAAACGGAAUGAGCUAUUCCUAUUUUACUUUUGUGGUGUAAUCAUGACCAUUAAUUCAAGGAACUCACUUCAUUAACUGGACUUGUAUUGGAAUCACUUCAUUUAAUAAAAUCCACCCAAAACCCGAGAAUCAAUUCAAAUCAUGGCCUAGUUAAGAUUCCAAAAAAAAAAUUCAAUAAAAAAUGAAUUGUAAUUCAAGAAUUAAUAUAGAUACUCUACGUAGAAAAUUAAAAGUGGGAAUUUACACAAAGCAACCUAUAUAUAUUCUCGCUAUUAAACCAUCAAAUUAGAAAUGAAAGAAAAAAAUUCAAAGGACUGAGAAAAAACAAGCUACUUACUCAUCAUCGUCAGCACGGGCUCCCCCUUCUUCGCACUCAAGGUGAAGGAUGGACCCAUUCUGGAUUCCGUAGUGGGCCAAAGGUCUCUCAAUCUCCAGUAGUAGACGGCCAUUGAAAUAAGUAAAGGUUCCCAAUCUGACUGUAGCAGCUCAUGAGGAAGAAUAGUGAUUAACACAUCCUCGAUGGUGUGGGAUUUUUCCACCUCAAGCACAAAAUUUCCGUAAUUUUCUGACCGCACAAAGAUUUUCAUUACGCCGUCCCCGUUGGGUCUCCUGGAAGAGCUGGGGUUUGCAUUUCCUGCGGUCUUGGUUGUUUUUGUAGAACUAGCAAAGUUGCAAAUGUAAUGGACGUUACGUUAGCUUAUUUAAUUGUGGUAAUUGCCCUGCAAUCGUAACUGUAUGUAAAUUCAAAUUUAAUAUUUAAUUUAAUGCAUUUGAAUUUAAUCAUUAAUUGCAGUUGGAAUUGCAUGAAGAAGCCAAACUGUAGGUAAUAGUUGAAAGUAUCUCCAAAUUGGCUAUCGUACCAGCUGUACCAAUUGUAACAAUUGCAGAAAUUAACCUUUAGCAAGAGGUAAGUUUACCUCUCUAAUCACUGUUUUAAUAGAAAAAUAUUUUUGCUUUCUACGUCAGAGAUAAUUUUACCACUAUGUAUGUAAAAUAAUAAAAAUCUGGAAAAAUAUUUUUCAACUAUAUGCAAGGAAACAAAUUGUUUAUAGCUACAACAUUUUCUACUGCAUCAAAUCAAAUAAGAUGCUUAUAGCUAUAAUUGCUGUAUUUGAACUGCAUGCAUCGAUCUUUAGCUAUACUGUAUCUCAUUCAACCAAACAAAAAAAGCACUUUAAGUUACAUGUUAUACUAUUUGAUUCCAAUAUAUAUAGUGGUAGGAAACAAAAUGACAAUAGAGAUCCGUUGGGAUUCGAUCUCCUACUCUAACAAUGUGAUUAAUAGUAUAAAGUAAUAAUUUAUAUCUAAGAACUUAAACUGCUAUAUUCAACAAGGAUAAGCAGUGAUUUGAGAAAUAUGGUUACCUCAUAACUAAGGGAGGGAGCAGGGGCGGAGCCAUUGAGUGGCCCACAGUGGCCAUGACCCUCCCUAAAUUUUUAAAAAUUACAUAUAAGUCCUUUACAAUAAAAAUUAAAAUAUUAUAAAUUUUAAUUUUAGGGUGCCAAAUUAAUUUUUUUAAUAAAAUUUGUGUUUCAAUUUUUUUUUCAAAUUUUUUGGUCAUUUUUUUUUCAAUUUUUACAGUCUUGUUUCUCUUUAAGCAUAUUGUCAUUAUCAGUAAAUCUGACAAUUUUUUUUUUUAACUAUUCGAGGUCAAAUUUUUUUCUAUCAAAUCUAAAUCUUGGCCACCCCGAAUCUUAAUUUCUCACUUUGUUCCUGGGAGGAAGAGAUAGAGAAAAUACUAGGCCUUGUUUCACUUGGAGAAGCUUGGGUGGCUUAAAUAGAGAACUAAAACUAUUAGGAUCAGACCCUGGAAUAUUCAUUUUACCUAGUUGUCACUAGGGGUGGAAACGAGCCGAGCUUGAGCGAGCUUAUGUCAGCUCAAAUUCGGCUUGAAAUUAAUUCGAGCCUAAAUCUAGGCUCAAGCUAAGCUUGAAAUUAAUUCGAGCCCGAGCUCGAGCGAGCCUAAUUUCGAGUCGAGCCGAGCUCGAGUUCUAAACGAGCCGAUUGAAAUUCUCGACAUUAUAUAAUCAUAGUUUAAUUUUGAUAGAACAUUACCUACAAUUUGAUGUAACAUGUCCAAUAGUUCAAAAUACAAAAUAAUUGCAAGAAAUGUGAGCUAGGGUGACUGCCUGACUGGGUGAGGGUCUGAGAGAGAGAGAGAGAGAGAGGGGAAAAAAAUUAGGGAUUGAGAAUUGAAUGUUAUCAUGUUUUAGGGUUAUGUGCAACAGUAAAGUCGAAGAGAUAGUGGUUACGUAAAUUUAGAGUUUGGCUCAAUUCAUGGUUGUACUUGUUGGAUUUAUUUUAAUGGGCAAUAAUAAUGGCCCAAAUUAAAUUAAAGCCUAUAUAUAAUUAAAAUAUAAUAUAUAUAUAUAUAUUAUAUAUAUUAUUGAGCUUUUCGAGCUGUCGAGUCUAAUAUCGAUCGAGCCGAGUAAUACUCAAGCUCGGCUUGAAAUGAAUUUCGAGCAUUUUAUUUUGUUCAAGCUCGGCUCAUUUAAUUUCGAGUCGAGCUCGAGCGAGCCGAAUAUCGAGUUGAACACGAGUCGAACGCGAGCCGGCUCGCUCGUUUGCCAGCCCUAGUACUUCUCACCCCCACCAAAAAUAUACAGAGGGUAAUUAUUAAGAAACACGAAGAGCUAGCUAAUUAAUGAGACAAACGCGCGUCAACUUGCAGUAAAGUUUAAGAGGCUUCAAAUUUUUUUAUCCUCCAACUUGCAUGGUGGGAAAUUUUUAAUGAUAUAUGCCGUAGACUAUUGACGACUAGUCCCGAAAUUAACGCAUACUUUAAAUUGGCAUAGAAAAUGUGUUAAAUUCUUGAAUAGAAAGAGAACAUUGGGACUGCAUCCAAUGUUAAAUAAGGUGGAAUAAUUCAUUUUCUUUAAUUAAAGAGCUAAUGAUGUCACAGGCCCCAGUGCUAUUAGAAUCAUAUUCCAAGGUGUAAUUAGGUUCUUAAUCUCUUUUGCGUGAAAACUUAAUUGAAGUAAGUAGAAGGUUAGGUACUCAAUUGAAAAUCCGAUGAAAACAAAUCAAAUAUCUAGUUGCAAUAAGUGAAAUCGUAUUUAAUGUCGAAUAAUGUGAAAAAAUAUUUUCCUCUAAAAGCGUAAGUUACUAAGAACAAUGUUACUCGUGAAAGGUCAAAUAUCCAAUUGUGAACCAAUUGCAAUAAUUAGAUGGCGUUACUCGUGAAAGGUCAAAUAUCAAAUUGCGAACCAAUUGCAAUAAUUAGAUGGCUAGCUACGCACCGGAAAAAUAUUAGAGAUCUCCUAUGUAAUUUACCUUCAUGUUUAAUCUCUCUCCAGGGAAUUCAUAUACCUGUGCAUAAAAUCCUGCAAAUCCACUAUUCUAUGGGUAGCCUUAUCAUGUUGGAAUAAUCCACUAUUCAACUGCAUCGAGACGCGCAUAGAUGGAUGGAAGGCAAAACUCCUCUCACAAGGGGGGAGACUCAUCUUGGUCAACUCGAUACUUUCGAAUCUUCCGUUAUUUUACUUUGCAAUCUUCAAAGUACCGCAAUGGGUGCUGAAGAGAAUUGAAGCACUUAGAAGAUCCUUCUUUCGGAAAGGGUGUUUCAAAAUUUUGGGGGUUCAUGCCUCGUUGGUUGGAAAACGAUUUGUAGGAGCAAAAAAGAAGGAGGUCUAGGGAUAAAAGAUAUGGAAGCUAUGAAUAAGGCGCUUUUAGCAAAAUGGUGGUGGCAUUUCUUCAAUGAGAAUUGUCUGUUAUGGGGGAGGUUGAUCACUGCUUUAUAUUACACCAGAAGAAGGCCGUUACGCGAAGGCAGAUCCUUCAGAUCCUACUCUCAGUGGUGAAGAAGUAUGAUGAGCUGUUAAGACGUGUUCAAAAGCGGUGUUUCGUAUGUUCUCGACGAUGGGAAAAACAUCAGGUGGUGGUCGGAUAUUUGGAUCGAUGAAACCCCUCUUAGUCCCCGAUUUCCACGAAUCUUCAGCAGUAUCACAUAUCAGGAAGCCACGGCCGCACAAUGUUGGAACGAAAGAGGAUGGAGAUGGCGCGUCUUAACCAGAGGCUUUAAUACUCGUACCAAUGGUCAGAAUAGCCAACAGACGGCGUUGCUCAAAAACCUUUUCUCUCACUAUAGGCCAUCAGAUUCACAGGACAAACUAAGGUGGCGAUGGACCGCCAAUCAAAUUUUUACCGUCAAAUCAUUUUAUGAAUUCAUCACCGACGGAUGACAGAUUGAUACUUUGUACGAUCAACUAUGGGGGCUAAAAAUUCCGCUCAAACACAAACUUUUCAUUUGGUUUCUACUUCGUAAGAGAUUACCUACGGUAGACAGAUUGCUGCGCCGAGGGUGCAUUGUGGAUCAGCACUGCAGGUUCUAUAUGUUACUAGCCGAAACCGGUGACCACCUUUUCUGCGACUGUAUCGUUGUCAGAUUUCUUCGUUUGAAAGCAGGAGCCUUAGUUGAGGAGAAUUCGGAUGUAGGAGAUGUACGCCAGCUGUGGACACAGAUCUCGAACAUCCCCGAGGCCGUUACAAGAUCAAAAAUUUUAACCAAGUUGGCGGCAAUUUGGUGGGUUGUCUGGAUGGAGCGUAACGGCAUUUGCUUCCGCGACGUUCCCCUUAAUUUUUCCAGGGCUCUCGAAAGUGUCGCAAUUUUGAUCGAAGCCUGGAACGAAGCUCUUUGAAUCUCUCCCGGCCUCGGUGUUUUGCCCUCUGUGUCCCAUUUGUCUAUUUUAGUUUGAUCGUGUUGUUACGUACCUGACUCGGCGCAACCCGUCGAUGAUGAGAUUUCGCUGAGACGAAGGACGGCGUCGAGGAUGAUGAUGCACGUAACAGCUUGCCUCAGAUCUAGCGGAUCAUAAUUUGGGUACUCGGAUAAAGUAGAUGAGAAGAAUAGGAAGAAAGGGAAUAGAAGAGAUGAGAAGAGGUAGGGUCAAGAAGAGAGAUUAAGAGAAAUAAGAGAUGAUGAGAAAGAUGAAAUUUCAUUAAUUUCCUAACCUCAAUCUAUGUUACACGCUGCCUUUUAUUCGCUACAAUAAUGAAAAUAAAAUAAUGAAACCCUAACUCUAAGUGGGCUUCAAUCCUCCCUUCGCGGAUAUGAGUUACACCUCUGGGACUCCUCCGGAUGGCCUAGCGGAUCCAGACCUUCUCAUAACCGGAUUCACAGACUCUGAGGUUGCUUGUGGGCCUCUGCUGGGCUUGUUUGGGCCAAAACUGCAGGAUAGCGGGUAAACGGUUCACGGUUCCACUUAUCCGCACUAUCCACGACCGGCCGGGGCUUGGGUUCGCGUUUUGCCUCCGAUCCAUCAAUCUGCCCAUCCGACCCGCAAAGCUUCCAUCUUCCCCAAUCUUCGAUCAUCUCCUCCGCCUACUCCUUCCGACUUCCCACACUCCGAUGCCGCUCCUCCAUGGGCAUGGUUCCAGAAGGUUGAAGCUCACUAUCCUGUGGAUUGAAGCAAGGAAAAGCUAAGCCUCCUCUCCCUUGUACUCAUCCUACUAGACCUCCUCCCUAAUACUACUCCUAAUCCUCUUAUUGUGCUUGGCAGGCGUAACAAUCCCCCCCUCUUAACAUGAUCCUUGUCCUCAAGGAUCAAAAAAAGGAAACUGACUUUUAAGGAGCCAGUAAUCUUCCCAAGUUGCUUGUUCCGUCGGCAGAUUCGCCCACUUCACCCGCACUUCAGUUACAGUUCUGUGCCCAUGCUUCACCGAUCUCCUCUCCAAGAUCUCCUCAGGUUCCGCUCGCACUUCAUCCUCUUCCCCGAUUUCUGGAACCCUCGGUGACGCUUGAGCUGCUAUUGGGGGACUCUUCUUCAGAAGGGAAACAUGAAACACGGAGUGAAUCCUCGACCCUUCAGGUAAUUCCAAUCUAUAUGCGACAGGUCCGAUACGCUCCAGUAUCUUGAAAGGACCAAAAAAUCGCGCGGUAAGUUUCACAUUCCUCCUUAUGGCCACUGUGGUUUGCCGAUAAGGUUGUAAUUUAAGAUAAACCCAAUCUCCCACUGAAUAUUCUUUUUCUUUCCUGUGCUUAUCUGCUUGCUGCUUCAUCCUACUCUGAGCCACCUGUAAUCGAUCUCUUAAUUCCUUCGUCAAUCUUUCUCUCUCUGCUGCCCACCCUACGAAUUCCUGAGAGGUAGCUGUAUCUGUGGCGGCCACCAGGUAAUUCGGGGGAGAUUGCCCAUACAAAGCCUCAUAAGGGGUCAUUCCCAAUGCCGAGUGAAAGUUCGUAUUAUACCACCAUUCGGCUAACGCUAGCCACGCGUGCCAUUUCUUCGGAUGUUGGAAACACAGACAUCUCAAAUAAGUUUCCAAGCACCUGUUAACUCUCUCAGUUUGCCCGUCGGUUUCCGGAUGAUAAGAGGAACUCAUGUGUAGUUUGGUCCCCAGGGACUGGAACAGCUCCUUCCAAAACUGACUAACAAAUAUCUUAUCUCUAUCCGAAACGAUACUUUUCGGACACCCAUGAAGCUUGCAGAUUGUUCCCAUGAAAGCUUUAGCCACAUCUGCUGCGGAAAAAGGGUGUUUAAGUGAUAUGAAAUGUGCAUAUUUUGUAAGUCGGUCGACCACUACCAGGAUAGUAUCUCGUCCUUCUGAUUUGGGUAGAGAUUCGAUGAAAUCCAUGCUUAUAUCUUCCCAAAUUUUGUGAGGAAUAGGUAAAGGCUGCAAUAACCCAGUGUAUGGAGUGCCAUCCACCUUAUUUUGAGUGCACACAGUACAUCUUUUGACCCAAUCCUCCACGUCCCUUUUUAGUCCUGGCCAAAAGAAAUGUCGUUUGAUUCUUCUAUAGGUGUUUUGGAUACCUGAGUGACCCCCCAAAGCCGAGUCAUGCAUUUGACCUAGAAUGUUCUCCCUCAUUGGACCAAUGUUCCCGAUAUAUAAUCUCCCUUUAUAGCGCAGCAGUUCAUUGCCAUAAGAAUAAUGCCCUUGGGUGGUCGGAUGUAAAAUCAGCUCAUGUAUCAGUUUCUCACAAUGUUGGUCACCUUUGUAACUAUCCACGACCUCUCUGACCCACGCUGGAAUAGCCGCCGAUAUGGCCAACGUAACCCCCUCCUCUUCUCUCCGGGAUAACGCAUCAGCAACCACAUUCUCCUUACCUUUCUUAUAUUGAAUGAUAUAAUCUAACCCCAUCAGCUUAAGCAUGCCCUUCUGUUGCAUUGGCGUGGAAAUCCUUUGUUCCAAUAGAUGCUUCAAACUCUCGUGAUCCGUUUUAAUCACAAAAGUACCAGUGUUGAUGUAGUGUUUCCACUUUUGUACGGCCAUUAAUAUCGCUAGGAAUUCCUUUUCGUAUGUCGACAGCCCCAAAUGCUUAGUACCAAUGGCCUUGCUCAGAUACGCUAUGGGUCUUCCUUGUUGGGACAACACUGCCCCUAUUCCAGUCCCGCAAGCAUCAACUUCGAUAGUGAAAGGGUCUCCAAAUUUAGGCAUGGCGAGUACCGGAGCCUUCGUCAUGGCCCCCUUCAAUUCGUCGAAUGCUGUUUGAGCUUCUUCCUGCCACCCAAACUGAUCCUUCUUUAAUAACUCGGUCAAGGGUUUACUAAUCGUCCCAUACCCUUUAAUGAACUUCCUAUAAUACCCGGUGAGUCCGAGGAAUCCACGAAGUUCUUUGACUGAUUUUGGCACGGGCCAAUUGGUCAUCGCCUCGAUCUUUGAUGGGUCUGUCGCCACCCCAUCCUUGGAAAUGAUGUGACCUAAAUACUCCACCUUAUUUUGCCCAAAAUAGCAUUUACUCCGUUUAGCGUAGAAUUUAUUCUUCCGCAACUCCUCCAAGGUGGUACGCAGAUGUCUUACGUGAUCCUGUAAGCUUUCACUGUAAAUUAGAAUGUCAUCAAAAAAUACCAAUAUGAAUUUUCUAAGAUAAGGUUCAAAAGUAAAAUUCAUUAUGGCUUGGAAAGUGGCUGGGGCAUUUGUCAGACCGAACGGCAUGACUCGAAACUCAUAAUGCCCUUGAUGUGUGCGGAAAGCUGUUUUGGGAAUGUCAUCAGGACACAUCCUAAUCUGAUGGUAGCCCGAUCUGAGAUCUAUUUUAGAAAAAUACUUUGACCCUCCCAAUUCGUCUAGCAAAUCGUCGAUAAUAGGUAUUGGAAACUUGUCCUUCACCGUGCAUUUGUUAAGUUGCCGAUAAUCUAUACACAUUCUCCAGCUUCCAUCCUUUUUCUUGACCAAUAGGGCGGGAGAGGCGAAAGGACUAUUACUCCUCUGAAUUAUCUCAUGGCUUAAUAAUUCCUUUAUCUGCCUUUCAAUCUCCGCUUUCUGAUCGUACGAGUACCGAUAUGGUCUAACAUUAACUGGGGCCGUGUUGGGCUGUAGAGGGAUUUUAUGAUCCUGGACGCGGGGUGGUGGUAACUCUUUGGGCUCUUCAAACACAUCCUGGAACUCCUCUAGCACCUGUUGGAUCUCUGGGGCCAUGUUUAUUUCCUGUGCAAGUUCUUCUGAUACUGCUUGGUGCCUGAGAAGAUAACAUUCGCCUUUCUCUAUCUCCUGUCUCCAUUGGGCUGCAGAUAUUAAUCUUAGCUUAGCUCCUUCCUCCAUUCCUUUUAACUCUAGCUUCUGUCCAUCUUUAGUGAUUGCUACUGAGUUGGAUACGAAGUCGAAAGUCACCAAUCCAUAGGAUUUCAGCCAAUCAAUCCCAAGCACCAUGUUAGAUCCUUCGAUCAUAAUUACUCUCAAGUCGGUUCGAAAUGUGUGCCCUUGCAUAGUCCAAGUGAAACCUGGGCAUCUUAACUUACUCAAAACCUUGUGCCCGUUUGCUACGGUUACCGUCAAGGACGAAGCUGUUUCCAUUCGGGCUCCUAUAUCCUUGGCCACUUGUAGGUCGAUAAAACUAUGCGUGCUCCCCGUAUCUAUCAAGAUAGUAAGAGUUCGAUCGUUUGUGUUUCCGCAUAUCUUGAUGGUAUCUUGGGGUACUUCUCCACUUAAUGCAUGUACGGAAACCCCUAUCUCUUGCUGCUCUUCUCUGUCAGGUAUAAUUUCUGUCUCCUCUCCUUCUCUUCCGUUGACCGCCCUUUCGCUAUCCCCUGUUUGCAAAUACUCUUCAUCAUACACCUCCAAGAUGUUGUCAGUAGCUUGUAGGAUAUUCAGCGACUUGUUGGAACACACGUGUCCAGGAUGAUAUUUAUCCCCGCACCGGAAGCAUAACCCCGCAGCUCGGCGCUGCUCUAUUAACUGCUUGUUGAUCGGGUAUUGAUUUGCCGUGGUUUUGUUCUGACUCUGGUUCGAUUGCUUGUUCCCUUCCGAACUCCUAUACAGCGAGGUUGAUUGAUAGGUCCCCGCAGAUGUUCUGGGAACAUAUCUAUUCUUUCGAUUAAUCACAUUGAGAGCCCUUUCAUGUAACUGUGCUUGUUCGUAUGCUUCUUCCAGCGUGUUCGGGUGAGCGAUGUCGAGGAAGGGAAUUAAUUCUUCCUUGAGUCCAUUAAUGUAGCACGCAAUAAAAUAUUCUUCUGUUAAGUGGGGAUUGUAAUGAAGUAAUUGGAAUCUUAACUCUUCGAACCUUUCUUGAUAUUUCUCGCAUGUUCCCGUGUGUUUCAAGUUGCUGAAUUCUCGGAUCAGGUAUCUCUUCCCCCACUGCGCAAACCUUCGGCACACCGCUUCGGUAAAUUCAUCCCAAGACACUGUUUGUUUAUUAACAAAAUAACCUUGCUUCCAUGUUCUUGCCUUGCCUGUCAGGUGCAUCGUUGCUACACUCAACCAUUGAUGUUGAGGUAUUUGAUACAAUUCGAAAUAUUGCUCGCAAUUUUCGAUCCAAUUUCUGGGAUCCUCUCCGUCAAAAUACGGAAAAUCCAAUCGAGGGUACGGUAAGUGCUGAUGUUGAUUAAAAGUUCGAUGGCCCCACGGUGAGGCAUGCUCUUCCUCGGUAUCAUUCGUUCUAAACGGAGUGGGUAGAAUACCUUUACCUUUUUCUUCUCUGAUCAAUAACGGUGUGUUGCUACUUCCAGGCCGGAAUUUGCGGUCAGAAAAGGGCGCUUCGGCUUGAGUCUUGAGGGUCGGGGAUUGAGUGGUCAUAAGCUUCAGCAGCUCCUCAUGCCUCCUGUUUGCCUCGGUUUGUAGUAACUCAAACUGUUUUUGCCCUGUGUCCCUUACUUCGGUUAUUCGUUGGGUAAGUGCUUCUAUGUUGGCUUGAUGUUCCGUUCCCAACUGCUGGUACUUCUCUUCUAGUGAAUGGAUGUGAUCACUAAUAUCUCUUAGUCGGGUCCCUUCGGCCAUAUCUAUAUCCUCCAAAUACUCCUUUGGAUUGAAUUUAAACUUGUUGCCUCGCUUACCCCCAAUCUUGUCGUGUUGGUAGGGCUAGUUAUGGGGGUUUCUAUGAACGGAAGGAUCGUAACCCGGUAGUUGUAUGGUGAAUUCCUUUGUCCAACUCUGAUCCCAGUACAGAAUCGGCAGCGCGGAAUUCUUAUACGCGAUUAAACUCAACGAUGCUGAGAUCGGAGUUCGGGAGCGAUUUUACCACACAGGGCCCGGGGAUCGGAAGUUCUCUGAUACCAAUUGUUACGUACCUGACUCGGCGCAACCCGUCGAUGAUGAGAUUUCGCUGAGACGANUGGUGUGCACCGGGUCAACGAACAACCUCCCAGGAACCAAUGAAGCAUAAAUCUCAACUGCGUUUGCACACACGAAGUCGAGCCUUUAAGCACCCACUCGAUUAAGUUGUCAAAAGAAAUAAAAUGAAAAAACAAGAAUAAAAUUAUUGUGAAUGGAGAUUUAAACUCUUCAACUGUUUCCGUGUACUUCUGCAACCAACGCUAUGCACUUAUAUAGGCCACGAACAGGUGAUUCAUAAAGUGACUAUUCAGGAAAGGGUGUUUCGUGAAGUGACUAGUCAUGAAUAGGUGUUUUAUGAAGUGACAUUUUAAUUAUGACUUUUCAUUUGAUCAUAACUACCAAAUAGUUAUAUAAACCAAGUUCAAUGAACAUAAUCAUAAUCAUUGAUUUCAAUGGAUAUUUGUACGAAGAGACACACUAUAAAAAUGUGUCUUUUUAUGUCAUAUUCUUUCACUAAAAGUCAUAUUCGUUAAUUAGAGUUGCAUUUAUUCACUCAGGCUUGUAUCCAUUCACUAAAAAUUGCAUCCUUUCACUAAAAAUCGCAUCCAUUUACUAAAAAUCAAUAAAUAAAAUUUAUUACUUUAAAAUUUUCCUUACAACCAGUGUGAAGCAACUAGAGGCGUCCAUCGUAGAGCGUGAGAAAAAAAACUGAAAUUGUUGAAGCCAGGUAAUUAGCACUCGUCGAGGCACGCCGAUCUCAUCCCACAGCCUCCCUAAACAUCGUAUACCACACAGCACAGCACAGCACAGCACAGCAGCCGAACAGGAUCAGCUCUUUGGCCCUCGAAAAUUAUUCUGUUUCUUUCCAACCACAGGACCCACCAACCGGCAGCAAAAAUGGAGAACCCCUUCUUCUUUGUUGCGCCCUCCUUCGCUCUAAACAGUUCCCGGAACUCGCCGCCAGCUCCAAUCACAGGACCCAUCAGAUCAAAUAUUACAGUUGCAUGCGUACCCAACUAAAAAUUUCUAAUUAUAUAUAUCAAACUUAAAUUCAAAUUUGGAUCUAUAAUUUAAAUUUGAAUAUCGGUGCCAAUAUCUUUUUCUUUUUCUUUUUCUUUUUUUUUUUUGUCAAUCCUUCUGAAAUCAAGGAUUGUUUCCAUGUCCACUGUUGUAAAUUAUCCGAAGGAAAAUUAAUUUUCUUUGAAAUGAAAUCCUCUCAAAUCAAAUAAAGAUAAUAGAAAUCAGUUAUUCUAAUUCUAGAUUAGAUGAGCAUAAAUCUUACAUAUUUUCCAAUCCAGAGAUCAACAAUUUCACACUGGUAUAAUCACUUGAGCGUACAAGCAGAGCAUCCCCUGAGGCAAACUAAUUCCUAGGAUGGUAGUAAGGGAAGACGGUGUAGAAGGUCUGCAGGAAGGUGAAAACAAGAACGAAAACUGCUGCGAUCAAGGAAAGGAUGGCCCACGGGUUGCCGAAAUAGUCCCUGACCAGCUUCGCCCUCCACUUGGGCCAAUCGGAAUCGCAGUACUUCCUCACGUCCCGGAACAACCCGGCGAGGUAGUGCUUCUCGAAAUCCAUGGCGGCGCAGUCGGAGAGCUGGUUGAAGAACACCGCCAGCUCCUUGUCGCUCGCCAGCUUGUUCUCCAGGAUCCCGCUCUGGUGGAGUAUCGCGACGUCUGCCGGCGUGUCGAUGAUGCAGUCCAUGAACGUCGCGUAGCUCGUCAUGUACGCCUCCUCCGGCUUGCACCCGCCGCACUGCUCGAAUGCCACGAGGUUCGUGAACCGCGAUAACGUCGAGUUCUCCACCGAGAGGAAUGGGAUCUCGAGCACGCCGUCGUGAAAUGCGACGUCCAGGAACGAACCGGGAUGAUGCUGAUCACUCUCGUUCCUUUUCCUCUUCUCGCCCUUCCUCUUAAACGUCACUCCGGCCUCCUCGAGCUCGGUCGCGGACGGGAUCGUAUUCGGCGAUCGUUUCUUAUCCGCCGGCGCCUGCGAUCGGGAAAUCUUUAUUCGGAGAUAAGAGAGGAGGGAGGCGAAGAUCUUAGUCGGGUUUAACCAUUUGAGAAUAGUACCGCAGAUGGUACUGCCCCUCGGGUCAGUUUGUGGUUUCGGGAUGUAGCAGCGGUAGUAGAGAUGCAACAGGUGGUGGAAAUCUUUGGCUUCGCCGUGCACCGAAACGGCGGCGGAGACGCGACUGGCGAGCAUCUCUUCCUCGGGCCUCUCGACGUUUCUGCUCGCGAGGUAGUUCACGAGAAGCUCCAUCAGGGAGGGUAUCUCCUCGUCGUCCAUGGUGAACGUGACGAGCUCGAACAGCUUCUCGAGCACGAAGAGGGGGAUCUGGUUCUCGAGCAGGAGCAGGUCGCCGCGCACGAGCGGCAAGCUCCAUCCGGCGGUGCAGACGCUGUCGUCGUCCCCCUGGCUCCACUUGAUGAUGAACUCGAGGACGAAGCACCCGUCGAGGAGCAGCAUCUCCACGAACGCAUCGGCGCUGAGGUCGACGGGCUCGAAGUAGCACCGCCGCGCCCGAGGCUCCAGCACCCUGAUCUCGGCUAUGUAGUGAUCGAUGCAGUUGUAGGGGUUGCGGGAGAGGAAGUCCUGCAGGUAGCGCCACUUGUGCUGCUCCAUGGCGCGGAGGACGGGGCCGUCGCCGCGGCCGUAGGGGCCGACGGAGACCAUCCGGGGCUCGUAGAGGUGCGUGUUGCGCUGCCGGACGUGCGCCGGAACGCGGAAGAUGGUGAAGCUCUCCGGCGCCAUCGGGUUGCGGUGUAAGGCGUUGAUGUUCGACCUGACGGAGCUCAGCACGGCAUCCUCGAUGUCUACGGCGACCGCCUCUCCCUGAUCCUGUGCCAUCGCCGGCCGGCAGCUAUCCUGUGCAGUCAACGAUCGUCCUCGGUAUGUAACCUCCCUCCCUACAUUACCUGUUCCAGAUCCAGUCGGCCGGCACAAAGGGCAAUAAAUUAAGUCCUUCUAAAAAGAGUUGUUUUUCUUUCCCCUAAAAAGCUUGUAGGGGAAAUCGCACGAAAUUUAUUUGAACUGUUCCUUUUUAAAAUGUUACUAAUAUACUAUCUAAUUUUUAGUUUAUUUAAUUAUAAUUAAUUGAUAUUUUUUUAAACAUAUAGGUUAAACUAUAUUUGUGAGGCGUCACAGUGCUAUAGAGUAUGGAGUCGAUAAUAUUCUGCAAAAUUUACUGCUUUUUUAGGUAGGCAAAGCUUAUUCCUUUUCCUGUCUUUCCGGACGUUUCCCCAUCUCUCCUCAACUUCACUCGGCCUUCGGCCCACUACGCACCGCUCGGAUGCCAAGUAUAGAUUAAUUAUUUAUUAUAAUAAAUUUAUUAUUAGAAAAAUUAUAUAAAAUAUAUUAAAUAAAUUUAUAUACAUACAUAAUAUAUUUAAAUUUGAAAGUUAAAAUAUCGUUUGCUGACUCAAAUCAAAUAAAAUAAAAAAUUGUGUGACAAAAUCAAACUCUUGAAAAGAUUGAUUAACUAAAUUAAAAUAGUUCAUAGACUAGAUAAGUUUUUAUAUUAAUUUUUUAAGUAAAGUAUACGAAACUUAUCUGAACUAUAGAUUGUUUUGAGUUGGUUUACUCAACCUUUUAAAAUUUUAAUUUUACUAUCUAAUAUUUCAAUUUGUUUGAUUUUGAUUCAGCUAACAGUAUUUUGAUUUCAAAAUUUGAAUGUAUUAUUUAUUUUUAUAGGUUUAGUUAGUAUACUUUAUAUAAUUCGCACAAUUAUAAAUUUAUUAAAUUAAAUAGUUAGCUUAAAUUUUGAAGUCAAAAAAUCGUUGAUUGGCUCAAAUUAAGGAAAUUAAAAGAUUAGAUAGUAAAAUUUAAAAUUUAAAAAUUUAGAUAUUUGAUUUAAAAUAAUUUAUAAUUUAGAUAAAUUUUGUAUGCUUUUAUCUUUUUUUUUUAUACAUUUUUUUCAACCAAAAUGAAAGCAAGUAAAUGCCUAGAGUGUCAUUGUCCAUUGAUUGUGAGAAGUGGGCCUUAGAGAUGUGGGUUGGGUGAAUUUGAGCUGUCAACAAGUCCUUUUGAAUGUGGUCGAUAUUCAGAAUACUUAAAAUGAGUUGGAUUCUUUUUGCGGAUUUCAAGUUCUCCACCUGUUCGAGUCUUAAAUGAUUCAGUUCUAAUGAGAGAGGAGACAUCUUUUUCUUUACUAUCGGUGGUUUCAUGACCAUUGAUUCAAAGAAACUCGUGUUAACAGAUUUGAAUUGAAUCUUUCCAUUUGGAAUGAAUGAGAUUAUAUCGGAUUCACUUCUUUUAUUUUUUCCAAGAGGAAAUGGGUUUAGCCCCCAUUGGAUUCAUUUCACCAAAAGAGAAGUUAUAAGAAACAUAUACCACUAGAAUUCCAAUCUCAAGUUAUCGGAUUCAUAAAUAAAAUCCACACAAAUAUGGUGAAAUCAAUCCUAAUCAUGAAGGUUCUAAAAAAAGAAAUCAAUGAUAAUUGAAUUGGAAUUAAUAAAUUGAAGGUACUCUAUGUAGAAAGUGUAAAUUAACACAGAGCAACCUAUAUUCCAGCUACAGAAACAUCAAAUUUAAAUACAAAAAAAAUGAAGGACCAAGAAAGGGGUAGCUACGUAGACUAUAAUUUAUCAGUUUGUGCACUCAAGGUGAAGUAUGGACCCAUCUAUAAAAAAUUGUGUGAAAGAGAAUAGCUUUUUACAUAAGGCCAUGUUUGGUUCGACGUAAAAGUGGACCGAAAAAAAUUUUUCUCCGAAAAACAACUUUGUAGCGUGUUUGGUUGGAAGUAAAAAAUUUUUCUGGAAAAACUUAUUUUACAUAUGUUAGGAAAAACUUACUUUUCGUUUUCCGCAUAAGAGCCGCGGAAAACGAAAAGGCAGCGGCUAGCAAAACAGCAGUAGCCACAGAUACGAUUCUCAAUCAAAAAGGGCAAAAUGUAAUAUGUGUUUAUGAGCUAUCGAUCAAAAAGGCAAUUUCUGUGGGUUCAUGGUAGUGGUAUUUCUAGGACGAGGGGCCUGAAGUACAUAUUGUCUUUGCGUGAACGGCGGAUUAUGCUACAUUACAAAUACCUCGCCCUUUAUACGGGAGCAAGCUGUUGGCUGAAUAUUUUAUGUUACGGUCCCAAUGGUUGUGGACUGAGGUAGGUUGAAAAAAGAAUUUGUUUACAGCCUUGGGCAGACGAGUUCAGCAAAAUAUGAUCAUGCAUACCUUUUAGGUUUUAAUUAUAUAAUGAAGGGGGCGGGGGUGGGUAGCUACGAGUCAAUGCCUAGUCAAGUUUAUGGUCUUCUAGAAGUUGACUUAGCUACCGUCUCAAUUUUUGUUCUAGGAUUCUUCUUUUUUGUGGGGAAUUUUUUGGCAUGGGGAAGGGCACCGCGCAGCCUGCUGCAGGUUUUGAAAAAGAAUUGUCGAUUAUUUUGGAACACUUCAGGGGGUCAUUAGGAGGCAAAACAAUUGGCGGUCACGAGGCCAUUUGGCUCGUGGAACGGGUGGCGAGAUCGAGGGUCCACCGGGUUCAUGUGGACCUCCUUCAUUAUAUAUAUAUAGUAUAUAUAGUAUAUUAUUAUAUUAUAUAUACUAUAUAUAUAUAUAUUAUAGUAUUUUAUUAUAAAAUAUCUAUUUAUUAUAUAUAAUAAUGUAUUUUAUAAUUAAUAAUAGUAUGUAUAUAUAUGGAUUGUAUAAACUUGAAUUUAUUUUAAUAUUCUUAAAUAUAUAAUGGCCAUUUUGCAUAAAAUCCACGUUUUCUGGGCUUUUGGCAAAUAUCGGGCCACUUUUUAUUUUUGCAGAUUCCGGUCGCUAUUUAGACAAACUGACAAAAUUACGUUAUUACUUGUUUCUCUUUCUUUCUCUCUCUUUCUUGUUUCUCUCGUUCUUUUUUUCUACGGGGUAGAUGGAGCGGAAGUGGAGGCAGAAAUGGUGCGUCGGUUGACUCUGUGACCUUUCUGCUAGUGCCCUCGCCCGUUGCCCUCGUCCAUGCAACGACCCAUUUUCCCUCGACGGGUUAGGCCGCGCGCGUGAUUUUUUUUUUUUUGCUUUUUUCUUUCUUUUCCUCGACUCUUGUCCCAUGUGCUUCGACGACGACGCUCUCGUUUCCCGCCCUUUUCUCUCUCCUGCUAGCCUCUUUUCUGCGCCCUCGACGACGAUUUAUUUCGCAAGGCGGCCGGACGUCUGACACGUAGAGGUUAUUGCGGGCUACAGCUCGGAGCGGCGUCGAUUAGGGUGUCGGUCACCGGCUGACGAUAGCUCGUGGCAGGAGAAUGGGUGACAAAAAAUUUAUAGAAAAAAAAACAGAAAAAAAAAUAAAGAUAAAGAAAUUAUAGUAAAAGAAGGAUGAAGAUUGAAAUUACAUCGUUUAAUUAUUAAAAAAAUUAAAGCUUGCACUAUUUAAGAUGUAAGCUGCUGCUUUAAUGAUAUAAAAAUUUACUUUUGAAUGAAAAUUAGCUAUUUUUUAUUUAAACUGUAUCCUUGUUAAGUGUAUUUAUAAUAUUAUUUUUUGUUGCACUGUUUUUCUGGUUGUUACUUAUUGGUCCUUGUUUCACAGAAUGUUGCAACAAGAAGGGAAAGACAGGGCAACAGAGGAGAAGACAAGUAUAAAUAUCUUCUAAAAAGGGUACAGGUUUCCUCUUAUUGAUAGUGUUUCUUUUUCUUGUUACUUUUGCUAUUUGUUUACAGAAAUGGUGAAAGAGAGGAAACAGUGACAACAGAGAUAGAAACAGUAGUAUGAUCUCUUAAACAGUACGAGUUUUUUAUUUGAUAUUUUCCUUAUUUAACGAAAUGUGCAAAAGAGGAAAGAUAUAUAUCUCUCUAAACAGUGCCGUUUUUUCUUCUUUUGCAUUGUUUUCCUCUUGUUUUGCAUAUUUCUUUAUGUAACAGAGAAUGGUGCUAAUAAGAGGAGAACAGUAUAAAGUAUCUCUUAAAAGGUGUGCCAGUUUAAGAGAAAAAAUAGAAUUGUAACAGAGAAGAAAUGUGAACGAGAGGAGAAACGUGCAACUUUUUUUAAAGAGUGUAACUUAUUUAAUGGUAUGCAGUUUAUAUAUGAAAGGUGUAAAUAAGAAGAGAAACAAUGUAAAUAUUUCAAAGAGUGUAAUUUGUUUAGGGGUAUAGUUUUCAUUUAUAAGCAGUGCAGUUUACAGUCUUAAAGUGCCAGUUUAAUCGUUAAAUAGGUACAAGCUUAUAAAUUUUUUUGCAGUUAACGAUACAAUUUGAAUGUUAUCUUUCUUUUUAUAUAAUUUUUAUAUCUUUAUUUUUUUUAAGCAGUUUGUUUUUUCAGAUUUUUGUUGUCACCAUAUCUCUGGCAAAGACGGUGGUACGACACGCUAACAGGACCCUCUGCUCCUGAGCUGUAGCGCGCACAGGGGACUCCACGGUAUGAGGGUGGUCACGUCGCUGCGGCGAAGAUUGCAUCGUUAGUCGGGGCCACGGAGAGAAUGAGGAGAGGGAAACGAGAAGGGCGGGGAAAGACGAGGCAAGUGACGAGAGAGGCAUCGUGUCGACGAGAUGGUGGACGAAGAGUCUGCGAAAAGAAAAGAAAGAAAAAAGCAAAAAAAAUUAAAGUUGGUGGCGCGGCGCUUGCGGGGGUUGAGGCCGUAGGAAGGUGAGGGUGCUUGCUGUGGGCACGAGGGCAAAGGGCGGAAGGGGCGAUGGCGAGUAAGAGAAUGAUGGAGUGAGAGCGAGAGGUACUGUUUUCGGCUCCGCUUGCCGGCAGAGAAAGAAAAAGAACGAGAGAAACGAAAGAGAGAGGAAGAGGAAGGGAAAAGUAAAAGGUAUUUUGUGUCAGUUUGCCUGAAAAGUGGAGCGAAUCGUUAUUGCCGAUAAAACGAAAGAUGACAGGAUUUUGAAAAGUCAAAUAGUGUAGAUUUUUUUGCAAAUUGGCAUAAUUAAUUAUUGUAAAAUAUUUAUUUUAUUUUAAUAUAUUUUAAUCUAUAAUAAAAAUUUAUAAUAAUUUAUUUAAGAUAAUAAUGUAUUAUCUAUAAUAAUAUAUAAAAUAAAAAAUAUGAUUAAAUUAUUUUUAUUACUUUUUUUUUUUGCAAGCAAACAAUGUCAUGAAAAAUAAUUUUUUUUCUAAAAUCCAACACCAAACGAGUAAAACUUUUUCACGGAAAUUUUUUUUCAUCAAAAUUUUUUUUCAUGGCGUGGAACAAAACACUAAUUAACAAAAGGAAAUUCAAUAAGAAACUAAUGCUCAGUAUAUAAUCAAAUUCUAAAGUAGAUAUCUAAGAGCUUAACCGGUUGAAAUUAUUGAAUUAUUACUAGUAGCUUAUUUGUGAGUUAUUCACAAGAUAAUAGAUAGUAUGUUAACACAAUACACAUUUAACAACUAUACAUAUUUAAAUAAUGAGAAAUGAGAUAUAUGUGAAAAAUACCAAUAGUAUAUUGCAAGCUCCAUCAAGGGACGAAUGUUACCGAUAGUUCUAGUGAGCAUAGUGGCAAAGAGUGAGUGUUGUACCCGGACCCAAAUUCGAUUAUGAUUCAACUUCAGCUAAGUUUAGUUUCUAAUGAAAUUGAAACGAAGGGAGUAGCGUGUACAUAUCCUCUAAAAAAAGGUACGAGUAUUAUGCGAAUAAUGUUUAGAUCUUAUGAGUAGGGAAUAGAUAGAUUAAACAUGUGCUCUUUUUUCAAAACAAUUAGUCAUUUGAAAUACGAGUUUAUAUUUUGUAUGGCAAACAGAGAUUUCCAUAAUAUCACAUUAUGGGAUUGCUCUCGUUCGGUUAGAGGCCUCGCGUCGGAUUUUCUGUGUUAAAGGAGAGAAAGUUGAAUAAUUAGACUUAUACUAAAUCUUGAAAUUAGUAUGUAUGUCUUGAUAUAUUAUGGUCAAUUCACAUCUGGUAGCAAUUUAUAAUGAAUUUUAUCGAUCCAGGGUAAACUUUGGAUGAUUGCUGAUGACGGUUCAUAUAGAUGAUAUUAGGUCGAUAAAGUGAAACUCAGAAAAUGUAACAGAUGGAAACUACAGAGAAUAUGUGAAUAGCCGGUAGUGUAGAAGCCAGAGUGAGUUGUGUUUACUGCAAGGCCAUGUUGUUCAUUGAACUUGGCUACUAGAUGUUGCACCAAGAAUCUCUCCACCGUGUAGUAUAUUUUCUCCCUGACAUUUGAAAUUUUGCUGCCACAACAAGAUAAGCAUAUUUAUCAUGCUCUUUUUCCGUAUAUUGUAAAGGCUGAUUUGUAUUUAAUCUUUUUUUUUCCGGAAUUAAUUGUCGUCUUAUUAUAUAUUGUAAACAAAAGAAAACAAGUUACAUUUAAGAAAUUGUGCAAAGAAAGAAAGAAUUUCUGAUCUUAAGGAAAAAAUAAAUUUAAACAUCAUAUAUGAGAAGUUAGUUCUAAGUGGUUGCUGGAAUACCAAGUAGCCUUAUGUGACAUCAUAUAAAUGAAUUUUUGCUAGUAAAGGAAAGUAUGCCGCGCGGUAAUAUGUAAUGUUCUUUAGGAAAAUGAAACGCACUUGUUUUCGUUCUGUGUGAGGGACUAUUGAAAAAGAGCUGAUGUUGAUCAGUGUUAAGACGAGAAUGGAUUCGAGUAUGAUUCAAUCUAACAAAUAGUUGACUUUGACAUGAAGUAAGAUAUAAAUCUUUUUUUCAUUGAAGCUGGAGAUGAUGUUUUUAUGUUAUGUAGUAUAUAAGAAACUGAAGAUUUAAAAGUUAAGGUACGUUUGUGGUGAUAGGUGAAAAGCUCUUUGACUUCGAUUAUUGGCACCCUUCAGCAAGGGUAAAUGAAAAUUCAUCAACUGAUUUAUUGUUGCUUUUCACAGAGAAAAGAGAAGAAACAGAGUCGGUCAAUAUUAAAUUUGAUUUAGGGGGAAUUUGUAAAUAUUAUUUGAAGGAUGAGCAGGAAAACUUAGUUAGGAUACUACAUGACAUUGUUUUCAAUUCAACCCUGGAGAAUACUAGUUAAACAAAGUAAUUAGUCCCUUGUGAAUCCUUAGGGAUUUUGGUUCUGAGCUUCUAUGCAGGAUGCUCUCGCAGUACCAUUCACUAAUAACACGAGCAUAUGCUGUAACUAAUAAGGAUUGGGAGUACAAUAAAAAAAAAAAAAAAAAAAAAAAAAAAAAAAAAAAUUAAUUGUGAAUUUUUGUAUUGUAGUUGUUGCAGUGGUAAUUAGGUUAGUUACUUUGGGCGAACAACUUCGGAAGUCAAGUUUCUCCCAUCAAGGAGUUGAUCCGAUGAAGCGCUCAUUUAUCUGCUUCGCAAGAGAUUUUAAAAUUCGUAACAGGUUCUCUGUUGGAAUCCCUUCCUAUGAAACCUAACGAAAAUUGUCCUUCCAGCUUGUAUUCUGUAGGUUCAGUUUAGAAGUCAUGAUAUCAUGUAGUUACAUGUAUAGGGGGCGUAGAUGUCUGGAUAGGUAUGAGAAUAAUAUUUGUAGGUACAGAUUUAUUAUUAUCGAUGUCUUUAUUCGUAGGAAGUUGGUGGAUAUAUAAUUUAUAAUGAAAAUUUGAUAGUAAAUAUAUUAUGUACAUCUAUAUGCUUAUAAUAGUCAUUAUAUGACUAUAAUAUUAUAUAGAGUUGAGCUAGAAUACUUGUAAAAGUAUUAUGUGAGUGGUGCUUUUAAGUUUUUAGCCAUUGGAUGGAGAGAUGUGAGGUUGAGAUGAUGGUGGUAGGUGGUGGUAGGUGGAAUAGUGUUUGAUCCAAGGGCUAUUAGUAAUCAAUGAGUAGAUCCAAUGGCUAAAAACCUAAUAGCAUCAUGGGGGUAAUACUUGUAAAAGUACUCUAUAUGUAUAGGAUAGUUUUCUCCUGGUUUUCUUAUUGACUUCUCAAAUUACCGAUAUACCUUGUGAAACACGAUCGGCACGAACUACACUGAAGCAGAAGAGUGGUUCUCGAAUUACUCUGUAAUAUUUCAAUAGUCUCACAUCGGAUGAGAAUGGAGUUAGGAUUCGGUAUAUACAAGAUCAUGAACAUUAGUAAUAAUAAUUGAGUUUAAGAAUUUGAGCUAGUGUUUUAGGCCUAAUGAGUCAUGGUGGUUUCAUGACCAUUGAUUCAAGGAACUUAUGUUAACCGAUUUGAGUUAAUCCUUCCGGCCCUUUGGAAUGAAAUGAGAUUGUAUAGGAUUCACUUCUUUCUAUAUUUCUUUGAAAAGAGUGCUCAACCUACAAGAACUGUUUAUGAUAUUUAAGGUAGAAGGUAGAAUUCUUUAAAGAAAGAACUUCGAGUUAUUUAAAGUAAAAAACAAAAUUUAUAAAUAAAUGAAAUAAAGUAGGGAUCUAUGGAAUCAUUGCAAUUGAUGUUCGAUCCCUUUUCUUUUCUUUUCUUUUCUUUUUUUCUCAAGGAAAUGGGUUUAGCCUCGUUUACAUAUUGGAUUCACUUUCACCUACAGAAAAGUUGUAAGAAACUCGAACAGCUACAACUCCAACCUCAACUUAUCAGAUUCACCCAAAACAAGAGAAAUCAAUUUAAAUCAUGGCCUAGCUAGUUAAGAUUCCAAACAGAAAAAUCAGUGAUAAAUGAUUUGAAAUUCAAGAACAGUAGAUACUCUAAGCCAGAAAGUGGAAAUUUACACAAAGCAACCUAUAUUCCAGCUAUUAAAACAUCAAAUUAGGAAUAAAAAAUUAGACUGAGGAGAGGGAAGCUACGUACAUAUGGACCAAAUUGAGCUCGAAGACGUCAAGGUGAAGGAUGGACCCAUCCUCAAUGCUGUAGUCCGCCAGAGAUUUGGCCGUCUCAAGUAGACGAUGGCCAUUGAAAUAAAGCGCCCCAGGCCAUUUACCAAGAACAGUGAUUAACACAUCCUCGAUGGUGUUAGAGCUGUUCACCUCAAGCGCAUAAUUUCCAUAAUCUUCUGACUGCACAUAGAUUUUCAUUUCACCAUCCCCACUGGGUCUCAUAGAAGAGCUAGACUCUGCAUAUCCCUUGUUGGCUAUUUUUGUUGGACUAUCAAAGUUGCAUAUGUAAUGCACGUUAGUUUCUUUGUAAUAGAAUUUCACAUAGAUUGAUCCUAACAUAUUUCAGGCACCAGUACAUAUAUAACAAACAUUAAUAUUACUUCGGCAAAAAGGAAAAUUAAGUUACAAUUUCGAUGGCUUUUGCCACAUGUAAAACAGAUACAGGAUAAUUUGUUUAAAUUUUCUUCUUUCUUUUUUUUUUUUUUUCCUCUAGCCAUCUUAUCGAGCUGAUAUUCGGUUUCUGAUCGAAAUAAUCAAAAAAAUUCAAUUCAUUUGUUGGCUUCAUGACUAUUCAAUUCAUCACGAUGUUAAAGAAAGUAACAAUUCAAGAAACUCAUGCGAAGUAGACAUGUAGUUGAAUCUCUUUGCUUGCAACGAGAAUGUAAUUUCCAUCUUUAGGUAAGAUCUUUAAAUCUGGGACUAAAAUUAAUCAUAACCAAACUAAUUUAAAACGAACCAUACGAAAUCAAAAUCUAAGUUACUUAAUUCCAAACAAAAAGGGAACAAAAAGGGAAUAAGUGAUACUCAUAGGUGUGUGCCAACACCCGCGGCGUGCAGUUCAGAUGAAGCACGGAGCCGUGUUCGAUUCCGUAUUCGGCCAGGGUUUUCUGCUUCUGCAACUCCAGGUCAUUGAAAGAAAGCCGCGGCUCCGGCGCUCGGCCCGCCCUGUCGCUGCCGAGAAUCUUGACCAGCACGUCCACGACAGUGUUACGGCAGCACACUAGGAGAUGGUAGUUGUGGGUAGCGUCGGACUGCACAGUGAUCUUCAUCUCACUGGCGAACUGAUCAGGUUCCCCGGCGGAGUCCCACUUGGAGUUCCACAGUUCCGCGACGGAGGCCGGCAGCUCUGCAGUAUAUAAAUGACUAAACCAAUUAAGCAACAACAAUUGCAAUAUCAUGAUGUUCACAUGCAAACAUUUGGAUCAAUUAAUUACAGCGAGUCAAGUAUCACUGGCCACAGCAACUCCGAGACUGAGAGAGAAUUAAAGAGAGAUACACAAAAAAAAAAAAAGUAGCAAGAAGAGGGAGGAUUUAUAGAGAUAAGAGGACUUAGUGAGAAAGAAGAAGACUAGUUGUGACGUUCCAAGAAAUUGUUCGUACGGAUCUCACAAUGUGUGUGUAGUCGGGCCCGACGAAGACGCGUUUACUUGAUUCACUGUUAUUUCUCUCUCUUUUGAAGCUUCCCACCUAUUUCUUGAGUACUAUUUUUUUUUCUUUUCUUUUCUUUUCUUUUUUUUUUUUUUUUUUGAGGGAAAGAUUGCAAGCCAACAAAAACAACAAAAAUAGAGAGAAAAAGACAGCAACUCCGAGAGUGCUGACAUUCACUGCUAUUUCUCUCUCUUGAAGCUUCCCACCUCUUUCUCGUGUACUAUUUUUUUCUUUUUGUUUUUUUUUUUUUGAGAGAAAGAUAGCAAGCCAACAAAAAUAACAAAAAUAAAGAAAAAAAUACAGCAACUCCGAGAGAGCUGACAUUCACUGUUAUUUCUCUCUCUUGAAGCUUCCCACCUCUUUCUGAUGUACUACUUUUUUCUUUUCUUUUCUUUUCUUUUCUUUUUUUUUUUUGAGAGAGAAAGAUAGCAAGCCAACAUAAACAAUAAAAACAGAGAGAAAAAGACAGCUACUCCAAGAUAGCUGAUAUUCAUUGUUAUUUCUCUAUCUUGAAGCUUCCCACCUCUUUCUGGCGUACUACUUUUUUCUUUCCUUUUCUUUUCUUUUGAGAGAAAGAUAGCAAGCCAACAUAAACAACAAAAACAGAGAGAAAAAGACAGCUACUCCGAGAUAGCUGAUAUUCACUGUUAUUUCUCUAUCUUGAAGCUUCCCACCUCUUUCUGGCGUACUACUUUUUUCUUUUUUUUUCUUUUCUUUUGAGAGAAAGAUAGCAAGCCAAUGUAAACAACAAAAACAGAAAGAAAAAGACAGCUACUCCGAGAUAGCUGAUAUUCACUGUUAUUUUUCUAUCUUGAAGCUUCCCACCUCUUUCUAGCGUACUACUUUUUUCUUUUCUUUUCUUUUCUUUUUUUUGAGAAAAAUAUAGCAAGCCAAUAAAAACAACAAAAACAAAGAGAAAAAGACAGCUACUCCGAGAGAGCUGACAUUCACCGUUAUUUCUCUCUCUGAAAGUAGCAUGAGCUUGAGAACAGAGCGAGAAAAAAACGAAACAAAACAACAAAAACAGAGAGCAAAAUAAGAGUAGAUGAAAAGAGAGAAAUGAGAGAAGGAACAGGAGGAUAAAUUUACUUCUUUUUUUUUUAUUUUCAACAAGCGGUAGUCGUAGGUUGGAAUAAAUUUAGAUCGAGUCCACACGGAGGCGUAGGUUAGGAUAAAAUUAGAUGAGUCUGAAGUAGAAUUUGAUGGAAUGCAAAUAUGGAUGCCAAUAUGGGGACUCAUCUGUAAAAAAUUAGGAAUCUCCUAUUUAAUUUACCUUUUUCUAUAAUCUCUCUCCAGGAUACCCGAUCGCAUUAGAUGUUUUUGCACCAUACAUCCAAUUUUCUAUUUUUAUUAGGUUUUUCAACUUGAACCAUUCAUUUUGUGGCAGCAUGACGCACUUGACAAUGAUACUCUAAAAAAAAUUGUGAACUUUCGAUUCCUAACAACUUGGAAAAUCUUAGAUUAUGCUUAAUGGUGUGAAUUACUGAUUCAAAAGUUCUAUUAUCGAAAAUAAGACUAUAACACAAAAUGCUUUGUGCCGUUAAUAUAACGCUAGCUUAGCUUUAUGCUUUAAUUUUCAAAACUUUUGAGAGAAUUCACAUCUUCAAAGUCCACUAAUAAAAGAAGAAUUUUAAAAAUUCAUCAAGUAAAUUCAAGAUAUUAAUCAUUUUCCGGGACCAAGGGGCCAAUCCUCUCUUCAAAUAUAAAACAACGAAAGAAGAAACAAAUCCUUCACAUAACUAAGCUCCAUCAAAAUAAUUAACAAACAUUAAUUUAACUUGAAAACUUAGUAUAAAUCUUUUGCUUAUAUUAUUCUUUGAAGUGUGCCUCUUUAAUCAUGGUUACAAUAUGUGAACUAUGGUUUGUACAAUAUAUUUAUGAUAUAAUUUGAUAUAGUGCUAGCAACGUACCUUCUAAGUUACAAUCCAUUUGGAUGUAUGUGGUGGCUAACAAUCAUAAUAGGACCAUCAGAUAACAUCAAUCAAAUAGUAGGCACUAAGAUGAUGCACAAUUAAAUUAAUGAGAAAUGACAUUCAAUAUAAUUGAAAUCAUUCUCAUGUUUACUUUGUGUGCUUAAUAGUCAAGUAACAAAUUUUCAAAUAAUUGUUUGCUUUAUUACAGUUACAAUGCACAUUCAGAGUUUGUACAUGACAAUGAACAAAAUGUAUGAAAAUAUAGUAUUAUUCUCCUCCAAAAAGCUCUGCUUCGGGUUUUGCCUGCGCGAAUGCCAAAAUAGUUUGAAUCAAUUCAAGUAUGAAAAAGGAUCGAUAGUGUUUGAUAAAGAAUAAUAAUAAUAAUAAAUACGGGUAGUAUACCUUAAUAUAUCAAUUCCAUUCAUCAUCUGUAGCAAUUACUACGUGACGUUGGUAAUCCCACCUACGCGUUGGUUGUUGCUCGAUGUCGUUCACCAUUUCAUAUUCGGUUGUGUAAAAGCUCAACCGGUCUUUCAAAUCUUCAACUUCAUAAUUCGACGCUAUUGUCUUGCUGAAUCUAGCCACUGUAUAUGUUAUGCAAGGCAUCCAUUUUAAAGCCUUAACUGUCUCUCCCGCCAUUAUGCGCAUGUUUUACAAUCAAAUCAAGGAGUGCUUUGGGGUAGUUCUUCACCCAAAUUGCUAAAAGGUUGAUUUCCUCAUUUGAUAGUUCUCCCUUGUAGUACUAUUUUUGUCAGCUCUUUAUUCUGCAGGUGAAAUAAAACAACAAUAUCCUAGAAUACUUUUAAAUUAAAAUGACAGAGAAUAAUGAUGAUUGAAAAUAGUAGAAAAUCGUAAUCGUAGAACAUAGUUGUGGACGAUGUUUCCAUUGCAUGCACAAUGAUCUCCAUCUCACUGGCAAAGUCAAGUUCCACAACGGAGUCCGGCAGCUCUACACAAUCCUUCUCCACCAGCUCUAUAUGGACACAUUGUGUUCUUCAGAUAAUCACAUUCAAUUUAGAACAUCUAAUGACUCAACUGUGAAAUUAUUGCAGAAGCAUGAAUUAUAAGCUUACACUACAAUCUAAUAGUAGAUGCUAAUACAACACAAAUUUAAACAGAUAAGAAGUUGCAAGUGAAAAAUACAGCAUAACAAUGUUUGUCUCAGUCACGAGACAAGAUUAUUGUGAAAUUGUUGAGAUCUCCUAGGUAGAGAAUGAAGAGAUUACAACACUACUCUCUUCAAGAGAAGUCACCAAUUGGAAAUCACGAUAUUUUAUUUUUUUUUCUCGACAAACACAAUUUCAUAUAAAUUAAUAUGCGGUACUGCUCUC